rnacentral:rRNA from 1 species
AGAACGAACGCUGGCGGCAUGCCUAACACAUGCAAGUCGAACGCUCUUGGGAUUUCGGUCUCAAGGGAGUGGCGCACGGGUGAGUAGCGCGUGGGAACCUGCCCUGUUGUGGGGGAUAACCGAGGGAAACUUCGGCUAAUACCGCAUAAGCCGGCUGUCUUGCGAAAGAUGGCCGGGAAAGAUUUAUCGCGACAGGAGGGGCCCGCGUCGGAUUAGGUAGUUGGCGGGGUAACGGCCCACCAAGCCGGUGACCCGUAGCUGGUCUGAGAGGAUGAUCAGCCACACUGGGACUGAGACACGGCCCAGACUCCUACGGGAGGCAGCAGUGGGGAAUAUUGGACAAUGGGGGCAACCCUGAUCCAGCAAUGCCGCGUGAGUGAUGAAGGCCUUAGGGUUGUAAAGCUCUUUCGCCCGCGACGAUGAUGACGGUAGCGGGAGAAGAAGCCCGGCUAACUUCGUGCCAGCAGCCGC